rnacentral:rRNA from 1 species
GAGACGGGGAUAACCCCGGGAAACUGGGGAUAAUACCCGAUAGGUCUGAGAUGAUGGAAGGCUCUCAGGCCGAAACCCUGCGGGGCUCGAGGAUGGGUCUGCGGCCUAUCAGGUAGUAGGGGGUUUCACGGACUCCCUAGCCGUAGACGGGUACGGGUUUUGGGAGAAGUCGCCCGGAGAUGGAUUCUGAGACACGAAUCCAGGUCCUACGGGACGCAGCAGGCGCGAAACCUCCACAAUGUGGGCAACCACGAUGGGGGAACUCCAAGUGUCUACACUUAUGUGUAGUCUGUUCUCGAGCCUAAAAAGCUCGAGAAGUAAGGGCCGGGUAAGACGGGUGCCAGCCGCCGCGGUAAUACCCGCGGCCCGAGUGGUGCUCAUUAUUAUUGAGCCUAAAGCGUCCGUAGCUGGCCGGGCAAAUCUCCGGGUAAAUCGGGCCGCCCAACGGUCCGAAUUCCGGAGACACUGCUCGGCUUGGGAUCGGGAGAGGGUGAAGGUACUCCCGGGGUAGGGGUAAAAUCCUGUAAUCCGGGGGGGACCACCAGUGGCGAAGGCGUUCACCUAGAACGAAUCCGUCAGUGAGGGAAGAAGCCCUAGGGCGCAAACGGGAUUAGAUACCCCGGUAGUUUAGGGUGUAAACUCUGCAGACUUGGUGUUGGGGGUCCUGCGUGGGCUCCCAGUGCCGGAGGGAAGAUGUUAAGUCUGCCGCUCGGGGAGUACGGUAGCAAGACUGCAACUUAAAGGAAU